UAAGACGGAGGGGGCUAGCGUUGUUCGGAAUGACUGGGCGUAAAGGGCGUGUAGGCUGUUGAUCAAGUCAAGCGUGAAAGCCUCGGGCUUAACCCGAGAACUGCGUUUGAUACUGGUUGACUUGAGGACGAGAGAGGAAAGUGGAAUUCCGAGUGUAGAGGUGAAAUUCGUAGAUAUUCGGAGGAACAUCAGAGGCGAAGGCGGCUUUCUGGCUCGUAUCUGACGCUGAGGCGCGAAAGCGUGGGGAGCAAACAGGAUUAGAUACCCUGGUAGUCCACGCUGUAAACGAUGAGUGCUAGACGUUGGGGGGUUCCCCUUCAGUGUCGCAGCUAACGCAUUAAGCACUCCGCCUGGGGAGUACGGUCGCAAGAUUA
rnacentral:rRNA from 1 species